rnacentral:misc_RNA from 1 species
AAGUCGUAACAAGGUCUCCGUUGGUGAACCAGCGGAGGGAUCAUUACAGAAGGUUAGAAGCCUACAAACCACUGCGAACCGUUCUUUUUAGCUGCCUCGGCGGACAAUCCCAGGGCGGGAUUCGGGGCCCUUCGGGGCGUUCGCCGGCGGUGCGCGCCUCUAGCUCUGUCUCUCAGCGGGCCUCUGAGUGAAUUGGAAAACCAUUAAAACUUUCAACAACGGAUCUCUUGGCUCUG